rnacentral:rRNA from 1 species
ACACGUAGGAGGCGAACGUUAUCCGGAUUUACUGGGCGUAAAGCGCGUGUAGGUGGUUUGGUAAGUAGGGCGUGAAAGCUCCUGGCUCAACUGGGAGAGGCCGUUCUAAACUGCCGAACUAGAGGAUGGUAGAGGGAGGUGGAAUUCCGGGUGUAGCGGUGGAAUGCGCAGAUAUCCGGAGGAACACCAGUGGCGAAAGCGGCCUCCUGGACCAUUCCUGACACUCAGACGCGAAAGCUAGGGUAGC